rnacentral:ncRNA from 1 species
ACAAUGGAGAGUUUGAUCCUGGCUCAGGAUGAACGCUAGCGGGAGGCCUAACACAUGCAAGCCGAGCGGUAGAGAUCUUUCGGGAUCUUGAGAGCGGCGUACGGGUGCGGAACACGUGUGCAACCUGCCUUUAUCUGGGGGAUAGCCUUUCGAAAGGAAGAUUAAUACCCCAUAAUAUACUGAAUGGCAUCAUUCGGUAUUGAAAACUCCGGUGGAUAGAGAUGGGCACGCGCAAGAUUAGAUAGUUGGUGAGGUAACGGCUCACCAAGUAUACGAUCUUUAGGGGGCCUGAGAGGGUGAUCCCCCACACUGGUACUGAGACACGGACCAGACUCAUACGGGAGCCAGCAGUGAGGAAUAUUGGACAAUGGGUGAGAGCCUGAUCCAGCCAUCCCGCGUGAAGGACGACGGCCCUAUGGGUUGUAAACUUCUUUUGUAUAGGGAUAAACCUACCCUCGUGAGGGUAGACUGAAGG